GUACACCCUUUGGCAGCACAUCCCCUAAAAUCGGAACUGAACCAAGAAGAUGAGUAUGGCACAAGGAUGAGAGGAAAUUCAGGAAGGGUUCCAUAUAUAU
rnacentral:snRNA from 1 species